UUCGAAAAAAAAAAGCUUCUCAUGCUAGAAAAUAGAAAUUGUUUGAAGUCAGGCUGUGAAAGAGACCGCAAUUGCACCCAUUGGUUAGAAAUUUCAUGUAAAACCGCAGAGCACAAGAGAGAGAGGAUCAGGAAGGACAAGGUUUCUUGGCACCUACCAACUCUUUUGCCCGAUCGAUCACGAGCCAUAAAAGCUCGAAUUUAAGGUUCAUUGUUCUGUGCAAGUAUAAUAAAAAAAUCUGAGGUGUAUUGGGCUGUUGCUCUCUUGAUUGAAUUUGAAGUUAAAAGUGCGUGAUUGCAUUUGAAACUUCAUCAGUCUUGGAAGGUUAAGCAGAACAUUUGAGAAUUGGGUUUUUGAAUUCUGAUUGAAUAGAAUAAAUUUUGGGGCUUUGAUUGCAUAUAAAUAUUACAACUGAAAAAUAAAUGGUUGAAAUGCUCUGAGCUUAGUAUUGGAUUUCAGUUUCUAGGGGGAGGGAGUGGUGUCUUGAAGGUUCUGUUUUGUGGAUUUCAUUUCUAUGCAUUUGUUGUAAGGAAAAGAUGUAUAGCAAUUUUAAGGAGCAUGCAAUAGCGUAUGUGAAGCAAGCAGUUCAAGAAGAUGACGCUGGAAACUAUAGUAAGGCAUUUCCCCUCUAUAUGAAUGCAUUAGAGUACUUCAGGACCCAUUUGAAGUACGAGAAGAAUCCGAAGAUAAAGGAAGCGAUUACUCAGAAAUUUAUGGAAUAUUUGAGGAGGGCAGAGGAGCUAAGGGCCAUUCUUGAUUGUGGAGGAAAUGGGCCUAAUGGUGAUGCAGCAGCUGCUACGCAACCAAGGACAAAGUCAAAGGGUGGAGAAGGGAAAGAAGGGAACGAUCCGGAGCAAGCAAAGCUCAGGGCUGGCCUUGAUUCUGCGAUAAUUAGGGAGAAACCGAAUGUGAAGUGGAGUGAUGUGGCUGGUCUUGAGAGUGCCAAACAGGCAUUGCAAGAGGCUGUCAUACUGCCUGUUAAGUUUCCCCAGUUUUUUACUGGGAAGAGACGACCAUGGAGGGCUUUUCUACUUUAUGGUCCACCUGGAACAGGGAAGUCCUAUUUAGCAAAGGCCGUUGCAACAGAAGCAGACUCAACUUUCUUCAGUGUUUCUUCAUCAGACCUUGUUUCAAAAUGGAUGGGCGAAAGUGAAAAGCUAGUCUCAAAUCUUUUCCAAAUGGCUCGUGAUAGUGCUCCUUCCAUAAUCUUCAUCGAUGAAAUUGAUUCCUUAUGUGGCCAACGGGGUGAAGGCAAUGAGAGUGAAGCAUCUCGACGUAUCAAAACAGAAUUGCUUGUACAGAUGCAGGGUGUAGGCCGUGGUGAUGAGAAAGUUCUGGUUCUUGCAGCAACAAAUACACCUUACGCUUUGGAUCAGGCCAUCCGGCGUCGUUUUGAUAAGCGAAUAUAUAUCCCUCUCCCAGAUUUGAAGGCAAGGCAGCACAUGUUUAAGGUGCAUCUUGGGGACACUCCUCAUAACUUAACUGAAAGUGAUUUUGAGCAUUUGGCCUACAAAACAGAAGGGUUUUCAGGUUCAGAUAUAUCAGUUUGUGUUAAGGAUGUUCUAUUUGAACCUGUUCGUAAAACCAGUGAUGCUAAAUUCUUCACAAAUACCUCUAAUGGCAUGUGGAUCCCUUGUGAACCUACUCAACCAGGAGCUGUUCAGAUUACCUUGCUGGAACUUGAUGCCCAAGGCCUAGCUUCAAAGAUCCAGCCACCACCAAUCACAAGAACAGAUUUUGAUAAAGUGCUCACUAGACAGAAGCCAACUGUAAGUAAAGCGGACCUUGAGGUGCAUGAGAGAUUCACUAAGGAGUUUGGGGAGGAAGGCUGAUUGCUUUAAAAAGUUGAAAAAGGACUGAUUAACUAUUGGUACAGGGAUAUGGAUUGGAUAAACGAAAAUUUCAGCACUGUUAUGCGCAUUGUUAAAGGGCAGCAGUUGGACACAUCCUAUUUGGUCCUAAAUUGGCCCGUUUCUAUCUCGCUCCGUUAGCCGCCAGUGACUUAAGUGGCUUUCUGGAUACCGCAAUUGACGGGUUGAAGGUGUCAUCGUUUUACGUGAACGAGUAGCCCAUGUUAUCAACUUCAGUACGACUUGUUUUGGACCGUCGUUCUCUUGCUUGAUCGGUUUUAGAAAGGAAGUAAAGGAUUGACGUUGAGCAAGUGUUCCGCCUUGGAAGACCCGUGAAGGAUCUCAAGACUAUACAAAAAAUGAUAAUCUUCCUUUGGCUGCAGGUACAUCAGAUGUGGAUGAUGACCUCGUAGCGUUGUACAUGGGAUAUUACGACCGAAGCUCGACGCGACAGUUGUAAUGUAUUGGACCAUGGGAUGUCCAUUCUUUUGUAUAUUUUGUAUAUGGAAUGUAAUAGCCAUUCUUUUCA